GCCCGCUUGGCUCAGUGGUAGAGCGUAUCACUAGUAAGAAAAAAGUCGGAAAGUGGAUCACAUCCACCUCCACCUACCUUCAACACACUAGGUCAAUGACAAGGUCAUUAGUUCAAUUCUGAUAGUGGGCA